rnacentral:tRNA from 1 species
ACGGAGGUAACUCAGUGGUAGAGUUCUCGGUUGUUAACCGAAAUGACGCAGGUUCGAAUCCUGCCCUCCGUG